GCGGGCGUGAUGGAAUGGUAGACAUAUCAGACUUAAAAUCUGAAGGGCCCUGUGCCCGUGUGGGUUCGAGUCCCACCGCCCGCACCA
rnacentral:tRNA from 1 species